AUCCUGGCAAUCAGCCCCCUGAUUAAAACCAUUAACUCUGACAGUCUCAUAUCUGACACACACGUUGGGCUAGCGCCCAAAGUUACUGCCAUGGCAUACGCAGACGAUGUUACAGUUGUUAU